rnacentral:rRNA from 1 species
UACGUAGGGUGCGAGCGUUGUCCGGAAUUAUUGGGCGUAAAGAGCUUGUAGGCGGUUUGUCGCGUCUGCCGUGAAAAUCCGGGGCUCAACCCCGGACUUGCGGUGGGUACGGGCAGACUAGAGUGUGGUAGGGGAGACUGGAAUUCCUGGUGUAGUGGUGAAAUGCGCAGAUAUCAGGAGGAACACCCAUGGCGAAGGCAGCUUACUGGGCAUUAUCUGACGCUGAGGUGCGAAAGCGUGGGGAGCAAACAGG